rnacentral:lncRNA from 1 species
CAAACAAUGCAAUUGCCAUUACCAUCAUACCAUUGAUUACCUAAUAAACUACUUUUUCUAAAUUAAUUAAUUUUGAUUUAUUUAAACUCAGGGUUCUCACUAAGGCGAGUCCAUGAGUCCUGGACUCAUCAAAAUCUGUCUGGACUCAUCAUUUUCAAAACUAGUGAGUCCACAGAUGCAUCAAGAUAGAAAUAUUUUGUAUAAACUAAACACAGUUAAACACAAUAUCAUCAUUUUAUAGCAAAAGUUUAAAAGUAAUCUGAAUUUAAUUUCAUUUCAUUGAUCUGUUAGGCCAUGGAGACUUAAAUAUUACAUUAUAUUGCAAUAAAAUAUCUUCUCCUUGCUGUUGGACUCACCAUGGCCAAAAAUGACGAGUCCCUGGACUCGCCUUCAAAAAUCGAGAAC